rnacentral:ncRNA from 1 species
CGGUCUGCCGGACGGGAUGAAAAGGGAACCCGGUGAAAAUCCGGGACAGUACUCGCUGCUGUAAGUCCCCUCCUUCGGGAGAAGUCGUUUAUCGCUCUCUUUGCCACUGGGUUAUACCGGGAAGGCGUGAUAAACGGGACAAGUCAGAAGACCUGCCAUAGCAGAU